rnacentral:lncRNA from 1 species
UUUCCACAGGCUUAUUCUUGAAUUAGGCUGGAGGGUUUUCUGGUUUCCUCCAAAGUAUAAGGUCGACUAAAGAAUUUGAGGGUCAAAACAAGUCCAUCAAAUCUAGAGUACGUUCGACCCUGAUGAUAUGGGAUACUUUUGUUGUUGACAAAGUAGUGGAUGUAUCAGCACUUGUUCUGUUACGCUUGUCUCUACAUGCUUCCUUGUAUCCUUCUCACUUGCCCUAUCUGUUCCUCAGGCAGAUGUGGUA